rnacentral:rRNA from 1 species
GACGAACGCUGGCGGCGUGCUUAACACAUGCAAGUCGAACGAUGAAGAAGAGAAACGCGAACUUCGGUUCAAAUUUCACUUCGGAUUAGUGGCAGACGGGUGAGUAACGCGUGAGCAACCUACCUCUUACAAAGGGAUAGCCUCGGGAAACCGUGAUUAAUACCAUAUGACACAUUCAUAAGGCAUCUUAAGAAUGUUAAAGCUACGGCGGUAAGAGAUGGGCUCGCGUCCCAUUAGCUAGUUGGUGAGGUAACGGCCCACCAAGGCGACGAUGGGUAACCGGCCUGAGAGGGUGAACGGUCACAUUGGAACUGAGACACGGUCCAAACUCCUACGGGAGGCAGCAGUGGGGAAUAUUGCACAAUGGAGGGAACUCUGAUGCAGCGACGCCGCGUGAGCGAUGAAGGAAUUCGUUUCGCAAAGCUCUGUUCUAUGGGAAGAAAAGGACUGUACCAUAGGAGAAAGCCCCGGCUAAAUACGUG